GACAGAGGGUGCGAACGUUGCUCGGAAUUACUGGGCGUAAAGCGCGUGUAGGCGGGUAAUCAAGUCAGAUGUGAAAGCCCUGGGCUCAACCCAGGAACUGCAUUUGAAACUGGUUGCCUUGAGUGUUGGAGAGGGAAGCGGAAUUCCUGGUGUAGAGGUGAAAUUCGUAGAUAUCAGGAGGAACACCGGUGGCGAAGGCGGCUUCCUGGACAACUACUGACGCUGAGACGCGAAAGCGUGGGGAGCAAACAGGG
rnacentral:rRNA from 1 species